rnacentral:rRNA from 1 species
AUGAACGCUAGCGGCCGGCCUAAUACAUGCCAGUCGAACGGGAUCCAGAUCAAAGCUUGCUUUGGUUUGGUGAGAGUGGCGCACGGGUGCGUAACGCGUUAGCAACCUACCCUUGUCAGGGGGAUAGCCCGGCGAAAGUCGGAUUAAUACCGCAUGACAUCAUUGAGAGGCAUCUUUCGAUGAUCAAAGAUUUAUCGGACAAGGAUGGGCUCGCGUGACAUUAGCUAGUUGGUAAGGUAACGGCUUACCAAGGCUACGAUGUCUAGGGGCUCUGAGAGGAGAAUCCCCCACAAUGGGACUGAGACACGGACCAGACUCCUACGGGAGGCAGCAGUAAGGAAUAUUGGUCAAUGGACGGAAGUCUGAACCAGCCAUGCCGCGUGCAGGAAGACGGCCCUAUGGGUUGUAAACUGCUUUUAUACGGGAACAAACGUCGGUACGUGUACCGGUCUGAGUGUACCGUAAGAAUAAGGAUCGGCUAACUCCGUG